rnacentral:rRNA from 1 species
CUUAGCAUGAAGUGAAGCACAUACACCUGCUGAGUUUAAGCAUAUAAGUAAGUGGUGGAAAUUAAACCAAAUGGGAUAUCUUUAGUAAUUGCGAAUGAACAAGGAUAUGCUUAGCUUGACAAAUGGAGCUAUUGGCUUUGAAUUGUAUUGUGGAAAUGUAUUACCAACAGAGGUGCAGGUGCCAGCCUAUUGAAAUAAAGCGUCAAUGAGGGUGAGAAUCCUGUUUGUCAUGUGCAGCCCUUUGUGCACGGUGUAUAUUUGCUGAGUCACACUCCUUGGCAUUGGAAUGCAAAGUGGGUGGUAAGUUUCAUGUAAAGGUAAACAUGCAAUUGAGACUGAUAGCACACAAGUACCAUGAGGGAAAUAUGAAAAGGACUUUGAAAAGAGAAUUAAAUGAGUUUGUAUUUGCUGAACACAAAGUAAACAGACUUGAUUUGCUUGGUGGGAGUGUUGCACUUGCUUGACAAGAGCUUUGGGCUGUGGGUGUAAUGAUUCUUUCUUUGCAUGCCAGUUUCUAUUUGUACAUCUGAUUACCUUUGCACAUGAAUGAUAAGUCUCCUGUGGGGGGUGGAUUGCAUGUGCAUGUAAUGAUUUGUGUUUUGAUAAAUGUGUCUGGUGUAUGUGUGUGCUCCUGUGCUUGGGGAUGCUUCCUUCCUUGGACUUACAAGCCCUGACACACACAUGCUGGCAAAAUGCUUCUGCUUGACCCGUCUUGAAACACGGACCAAGGAGUCUAACAGAUGUGCAAAGUUUGAAGGUGGUAUACCUUUGUGUGCAAUGAAAGUGUCAGCUGGGAUAUGUGCACCAGCACCCAAUUAAUUAGCGGACAGAGGUUUGAGUUGGAGCAUAUCUAUUAGGACCCGAAAGAUGGUGAACUAUGCCUGAACAGAAUGAAUUCAGAGGAAACUCUGAUGGAGGUUCGUAUCGAUACUGACGUGCAAAUCGUUCG